AUUGAACGCUGGCGGCAGGCCUAACACAUGCAAGUCGAGCGGAUGAAGGGAGCUUGCUCCUGGAUUCAGCGGCGGACGGGUGAGUAAUGCCUAGGAAUCUGCCUGGUAGUGGGGGAUAACGUCCGGAAACGGGCGCUAAUACCGCAUACGUCCGGAGGGAGAAAGGGGGGGAUCUUCGGACCUCACGCUAUCAGAUGAGCCUAGGUCGGAUUAGCUAGUUGGUGGGGUAAAGGCCUACCAAGGCGACGAUCCGUAACUGGUCUGAGAGGAUGAUCAGUCACACUGGAACUGAGACACGGUCCAGACUCCUACGGGAGGCAGCAGUGGGGAAUAUUGGACAAUGGGCGAAAGCCUGAUCCAGCCAUGCCGCGUGUGUGAAGAAGGUCUUCGGAUUGUAAAGCACUUUAAGUUGGGAGGAAGGGCAGUAAGUUAAUACCUUGCUGUUUUGACGUUACCAACAGAAUAAGCACCGGCUAACUUCGUG
rnacentral:rRNA from 1 species